UACGUAGGGUGCAAGCGUUGUCCGGAAUUAUUGGGCGUAAAGAGCUCGUAGGCGGUCUGUCGCGUCUGCUGUGAAAACUCAGGGCUUAACCCUGAGCUUGCAGUGGGUACGGGCAGACUAGAGUGCGGUAGGGGGAGACUGGAAUUCCUGGUGUAGCGGUGAAAUGCGCAGAUAUCGAGGAGGAACACCGGUGGCGAAGGCGGGUCUCUGGGCCGAUACAUGACG
rnacentral:rRNA from 1 species